UACGGGGGGAGCAAGCGUUGUUCGGAAUCACUGGGCGUAAAGCGCACGUAGGCGGCUUUGUAAGUUAGAGGUGAAAGCCCGGGGCUCAACUCCGGAACUGCCUUUAAAACUGCAUCGCUUGAAUCCAGGAGAGGUGAGUGGAAUUCCGAGUGUAGAGGUGAAAUUCGUAGAUAUUCGGAAGAACACCAGUGGCGAAGGCGGCUCACUGGACUGGUAUUGACGCUGAGGUGCGAAAGCGUGGGGAGCAAACAGG
rnacentral:rRNA from 1 species